GGAUUAGAUACCCUGGUAGUCCACGCAGUAAACGUUGUACACUCGGUGUGGCGGAUAUUAAAAUCUGCUGUGCCCAAGCUAACGCAUUAAGUGUACCGCCUGGGAAGUACGGUCGCAAGACUAAAACUCAAAGGAAUUGACGGGGGCCCGCACAAGCGGUGGAGCAUGUGGUUUAAUUCGACGCAACGCGAAGAACCUUACCUGGGUUUGACAUCCUGUGAAUAUCGGGUAAUUCCGAUAGUGCCUUCGGGAGCACAGAGACAGGUGCUGCAUGGCUGUCGUCAGCUCGUGCCG
rnacentral:rRNA from 1 species